rnacentral:rRNA from 1 species
GGUGAACGCUAGCGGCAGGCUUAAUACAUGCAAGUCGAGGGGCAACAGGGGUAGCAAUACCUGCUGGCGACCGGCAAACGGGUGCGGAACACGUACAGAACCUUCCUUUAAGCGGGGGAUAGCCCAUAGAAAUGUGGAUUAAUACCCCAUAGUAAUGUUGAGUGGCAUCACAUGACAUUUAAAGAUUUAUCACUUAAAGAUGGCUGUGCGGCUGAUUAGGUAGUUGGNGGGGUAACGGCCCACCAAGCCAGCGAUCAGUAACUGGUGUGAGAGCACGACCAGUCACACGGGCACUGAGACACGGGCCCGACUCCUACGGGAGGCAGCAGUAAGGAAUAUUGGUCAAUGGACGCAAGUCUGAACCAGCCAUGCCGCGCGGAGGAUUAAGGCCCUCUGGGUUGUAAACUCCUUUUAUCUGGGAAGAAAUGCUAUUUUUUCUAAAGUGCUUGACGGUACCAGAGAAUAAGCACCGGCUAACUCCGUGCCAGCA